AAUUCGUCAAACUCUUCUUCCUCUUCAACUUUUUUCUCCAUUUCAUUGUCUACAAUGCCUGAUUGGGAAAUACUAGCUUCUCUAUUAAUACUAAGACUCUCCGCCCAAACAGUUGAUGUAGCGUCAAGGUCAAGUUUAGAUGCUUCAACGACUUUUUGGUUUUUAGAAUCGUAAUCCUCUACAGGAUUUAAAUCAUCUUCUUCAAGAAGGUGUGGAUCUAUUUUUGUAUCAGCUCCCUCU